AAAAAACUUUUGAGCAAAAAUAGUUUAUUUUUUAGAAUAAAAAAUAUUUGUUUCAUGAAAAAUUCAUCGGCUAAUUGAUGUUUUUGAGUUAACGGCAGUUUUUUUCAUUGGUAGCUAAUUACAAUGAAGCUCGUAGUCCUGUUUUCCAUCCCCAAAAAAAGGUAAACAUAUUUUUGUCUUUUAAUUUUAUCAUGAAUUUCUCCUUCAUCUCAUGAAGGCCAAAGGUUUUUUUCGUGAAGUAUUCUUUAUGCUAAGUAGAUGUUCUUGUUCUAGUUUGUAUGGCUUUGUUCAUCUUGUUUUUCUCAUUUUAUUCUCAUUUUGUUCUUGUUGUUCUUUUUCUCAUUUUGUUGUCUUCCUGUGUGUUAUUCUUGAUGUACGAACGUAUCAUUUGAUUCUAAAAUUAUUUUUAUUUUAAUAAGGAUAAUAUUUUUUGUUUCAUGGUUACGUUCUGUUAGUGUGUUCAAGAUGGAUGUAAUUAACUCUUGAGAAGAUAUAAGCGCUUGAGCAGUUAAAGAUUUUUCCUUUUAUCGCUCUUCCUAUUUGCAUAUCAAGAAGCAAUUUAUAUAUGUUGGAUUAGAGGUUAACUUGGUAUAUGCUGGAUCAUUAAUCUUUGGUUUGUGUGUUCUCUUAAAGUUCAUUUGUUUGUUAACAUAGCGAGAAAAAAUAUUAAGAAUCAAGCUCCGCUUAUUAUUUCUUGAUCCCGUCUCUCAAAUUAUAAUUUCUGUAGAUAAGAUAGAAUAGCGUGUGAAGGGUUUAACCACGGUGGGUUCCUUUGAUUCUUUUGUGAUAAUUAACAUCAAACCUUGAACUCUUUGCAUUUGAAAUUAAAGUAGUAAUAUGAUUCGUCUCUCAAACUUGGCCUGCUUCAUAUAUUUCUUUGGAUAGUUUGGUUUAUCCCCUUUUUCAAAAAAAGUUUGCGAUCAUGUUGAUACAGAAGAGCGUUGACAUUGUAUGAAAAUUAGUCCAACAACUUUCUUAAUGCUAUUUUUGAAUAAUGUGACUUUUGACUUGUUUAUCUUUUCGAAUCGUAUUUAUAUGUUUGGUGAUCUGUGUUGUCCUAUUUCCUUUCCCUUUUUUUAUGGUGGUAUGAUUACUUAAUCCCUAUAAAUUACAUGCUAGCCUAAUAGGAUCUUGCUCAUGUUGAAUUUCUUGUCGAGUCAAAUCAUUCGCAUCCUUACUCCUACAUUAUUCAACCUUAUUUUCUUUAUGCGCGAGAGCGUUUGUUUGUUUUUUUAGAAUCAAUUUUUAAAUGUAUGUUAAUUUCUUUGCUUCUCUCUUUGCAUUUCGGAUAUAUGUGUUAACUUCCUUUCUUUCUUCGUUUGCAUAUGAAUCCAUUUUGGAGUCCAAAUGGACUCUUUUCCCUUUGUAUUUUUAUAAUGAGCCAUUGAGUUUCAUUCUUCUCGGGUUAGUAGUAAUCCAAAAGCUGAUAAUAUUGGUGGGCCGAUGCAUUAAAAAUGAAAGAAGAAGAAAUGCGUAAAAAUCCAUUGUUGAAGUAGUUAAGAGAAUCAAAAAGUCUCAGUUUUUCCCUUAUUUAUUUAAUAUUUCUUUAUUUAUAUUUAGUUAUUUAUCUAGGAAUUUAUUUAUUUAUUCAUUUGGGGCCUCGAAGCCAAAGUUGUAAAUUAAUAUAGGCAAAGUCGAUUAUGGGCCAAAAGGUCCAAAAAGAUAAUUUAGGAUAGGUUAUGGGCUAAAGCGUAAUAUUUAGAUUAGAACAGGUGAAGAUGGACUAAAAAACCAACUAGAUUCGGACAAGGUUUUUUGAUUUGGGCCUAAUUUGCUUAGACUAAGUUAAAUUUCCUCACAAGUCAUCAAAAUUUAUCUUAUACAAGUCUUUUUCUAAAUUAUUUUUUCUUUUCAAAAAAUUAAUUUUUCUUUUAGAAGUUAGUAAAAAGAAUCAUUUUCAAAUAGUCCUGAUAACCGCAAACAUUCCUAAAAUGUUAAUGAGAAUCACUUACCUAGAAUUUUAAAACUUAAAUGAUUUUUCUGUUUUUGAAUAAUUUAAGUGAUUUAUAAAGCGUUUUCUUAAUUUUUCUAAAUAAAUUAAGUAGCGACUCUAAAAGUCAUAUUUCCACAAAACAGGUGUCAAAGGAAGCUAAAUGGGAAAAUGUCUAGAAUUCCCCCAAAUUAAAAUUGUAAAAAUACUGCAGGUGGUUACGAGUUGAUCCCAUGACUCGUGACCACAACAUGUGAAUCGCACCAUUGAGUCAUCACCAAUACAGUGGGCUAGACACCCACAGACUGUCCAUCAUACGACUCCUUGAACCCACUCGUUACCAAACCAUGCGACUCGUAUCGCCUAGUAGUACCCAAGACAUAAUCCAAAGGGAUUGACACUGGACAACAUACAAUUCAACUAUACCACUCAUACCCUAUCCUCAUGGCUCUUAGUAAGACACUCGUACUCAGAGCCAAUUCAAGGCGCUAUGUUUUGAAUUUUGAUGAAAUAUCGUCCUAACGACCUGUCACAACCCAUAACGACAUGUAUCACCAAGUCAUAACCACAUUAAAAACCCAACCACCAGCCACUGGACUCCUUACGACUAGGGUCACCUAACCUAUAUGACUCGUAUGAUAAGUCGUUACAAGGAUAGUUAACUCAAAGCUCACGAAAUUUCAAAGGGCCAAGACCCUAGGUGUGUUAAUUCUCCCCCACUUGGAUCAUUCAUCCAGAAUGAUAGGACAAGGAGGUAAAUAACACGAUUGAACCUCCAAACAUCUCUACUCUGACCUUUAACUAAGUUAGAAAAUAAAGAUGUUAAGAAUAACACAUACCUUAAGCACGAUUUUUCAGAAUGAAUAAUAGGAAUGGAUACUUGGACUUCAUGUCCUCUUCUGCUUCCCAAGUAGCCUUUUCAACCUUGUGGUUCCUCCAUAGAACCUUUCCUGAAGCUAUAUCCUUGGUCCACAAUGAACAAACCCGACGAUCCAAGAUUUUAAUUGAGAUCUUAUCACAAGACAGGAAUCCAAAAUACUAAUUACCUUGGUAGGCACAAAGCGAUAAAUCACCCACACACUUCUUCAACAUAGACACAUAGAACACCGGGUGAAUAGAGCUCAAACUAGAAGGCAACUCCAACUCAUACACAACAUUACCAACCUUUCUCAAAACAAAGUAUGUACCAACAUACGGAGGACUGAGCUUUCCUUUAUUCCCAAAUCGCAUCACCCCCAUCAUGGGAGACACCUUCAGGAACACCCUAUCCUUAACUUCGAACUCUAAAUUACUACGGAUCACAUCUGUAUAGGAUAUUUGGAGACUUUGGGUAACUUUAAGCCUAUCCCAAAUCACAUUCACCUUAUCUAUGGAUUGGUGAACCAAAUUCAAACCAAACAUCUCUCCCUCACCAACUCCUAGCCACCUAAUAGAAGACCUACACCGCCUACUAUAAAAGGCCUCAAAUAGAUCCAUCCUAAUGCUAUAGUGGUGGCUAUUACUAUAUGUAAAAUCUAUAAGAAGAAAAUGCUGAACCUAAGAACAGCCAUAAUCAAUCACCCAAGCUUGAAGCAUAUCCUCUAAUGUCUGCAUAGUUCUUUCUGCUUGCCCAUCCGACUGUGGGUGGAAAUUCAUACUAAGACUCACCUUAGUUCCCAAACCUAUAUGAAAUGACCACUAAAUAUUUGAUCAAAUAUGCGAACCAUGAUUCAACAUAAUAGAAACAUGCAUCGAAUGCAAAUUUACAAUCUCUUACAGGUACAACCUCGUAUAAUCCUCUUCCAAAAAGUUUUUCCUUACAAGAAAAAAGUGAGUAAAUUUAGUCAUCCUAUCCACGAUGACCCAGACCAAAUCAAACUAAUUUUGAGACCGAGGAAGACCGGUAAUGAAAUCCAUAUUGAUCACCCUCCACUUCCACAUUGGCAAUUUAUUUUCUUGAUACAAUCCUCCGAGCCUCAUGUUUUCAACUUUCAUUUGUUGGUACACCAUGUACUUGGCAACAAAACUAGACACAUCCCACUUUAUAUUGUUCCACCAAUACAUUUCUUUAAGGUUAUGAUACAUUUUUGUUGAACUAGGAUGAAUAACAUAACAUGACUCACGCGCCUCAUCCAAGAUCUCUCUUGUAAACCUUCUAUAUAGGGAAAACAUAACCACCCUUGGUACCACAAGGUACCAUCACCAUAAAUAUUAAAGGAAAUCACCUUCUACCAACAUACAUCACCCUUGAUCUUUAUCAAGAAAAGAUGCAACCUUGUUUCUCCUUGAUUUCAGCACCAACAGACGACUACACCACCUCUUCCACAAUCACACCACAAUCCUCAGAGUCCAAGAGAUGAACUCUAAGGUUAGCUAUAUGGUGAAUAUCUCUCACCAACUCUUACUUUCCUUCCUCCAAAUGAGUCAGAAUCCCAAUAGAUAACCUGCUAAGAGCUUUAGGAACCACGUUAGCCUUAUUUAGAUUGUAGUGAAGAAUCAUGUCAUAAUCCUUAAGAAACUCAAGACAUCUCUUUUGCCUGUGGUUAAGCUCUUUCUGAGUAAACAUAUAAUACAGGCAGAAUACAAAGAUCUUUUCCAUCUCAUCCACAAAACCUUGAGGAUCCUCCUUAACCUUUACAUUAGUGAACACAGGAGGGCUCAACCUCAUAAACUAGCAAACCCUUAUGGCCUAAGAAGAUGGAGUAACAGAAGUCCUAUGCUCAGCUUGAAAAGCUAUCAAGUAUGCCAACAUAUGAAUAAACUAGCAAAACUUAACAUUCAUCGCAUCAGCCUGAGGGGCUCAAGAAAAAAUGGAUGGAGCUAAUGGAACACUAGGAAGACAAUUAGGAAAUGGGCCCACAGAUUGAGUUUAGACCCUAUAUUAGGAUGGGUCGCAUCAAUAUUAUCCUCGGGUAGGACAAAAGGGUUUUGAUGAACCUCAGAUCAUCUGGGAGGCAUGAUCUGUAAAAAGCAAACAAAUAGAUCUUAGAGAAGCUUUCAGGACCUUAGACUCAACAUCUUGAAAGCAAAACACAAGAAAGAGAAACAUUCCUAAAUUCCUUGUAGCCUCUCCUUUAUGAUUGUGGCAUGCUACAUACCCUUAAAAGAGACUCUACUCGACACAGCAUUGUCAUAAAUCUAAUAGACUAUGAACUUAGGGCUCUAAUACAAAUAUAAAAUGACGCAAACUAGGGCCUAGUCAUGUUUGGCAUCUCAAGUUCAACAUGAACCAAAGACCACCACCAAUACCUAAUCAUAACUUUCCUGCACUCUAUGUCGAAUGAAUUUCAAACUUAUAACAAGAUAAAACAAUAAUAAUUCAAAGAUAAUAAAUAAAGUUAAUAAUCAUAAUCUAACAACAUAAACCAAAUAUCCAAUCGACGACAACUCCCAACGUCAAUACCAAUACUAACACUGACACCAAUACCAACACUUCCUAUGCCCAUAGUAGUCUGACAAAGCCUCUAUCCAAAAUCAAAUAACAUUCGGUAAGGACAUGCCCCUGAACAUAGCAAAAGCCAAAACCAAUGAAAUAACAAUAAAGAGAAGCAAUCCAUAGCAUAAAAUGGAGUCUUCCAAAGUAUGGAAGCUCACCACUUUAAUCUGACUCAAAUUUGUCUUUAAAUCCAAGUCACUGAGUAGGAGGAAUGGUAGUAUAGUCGAUUCUUGCAUCAUGUGUGGAUACAACACCCGAAGAUGGUUAACGGAGUGAACGCUAGAAUGUUACUCAGUGGUAAUGAUAAGAUAAUGCCAUUAAUUCAAAACCAAAUUAAUAACCAUGUGCAAUCACAUCAAUAGGUUUAUAUAUAUAUAUCAUGUAUGGAAAGGGAACAAGGUUUAGAAUACAUUUAAAACUUUAACUUGGCUAAGUAGCUUGACCAUCCUAAAACUAUCCAUAAGUUAUAUGGUUUCAGCUCCUCUGCUGAAGAAGCCUCAGUUCGUGAUACCGGAGAAAAGAAAUUGAGAUAACUAGUACACAUCCUAAAAAAUAUAAAGUGUGAAAUCAUGCACAUGGUCACAAAAACCACCCUCAGAUUGGUAAACAUGAGUUUCCAGUGUCCGUCUCCUAAAUUCUCCAUCUUCCACGACUUUGAUACUCGACCCUCUUUAAGCUAUAGUAAAACCAUUAACACAUUCCCAACGAUUUACCAAGGAGUCUUUUAAUUAGGAACUUACCAUUGGUAUCAUUUACCAAAAUUAGAGCUUGCAAGUUUAUUACCUUAUUCCAUAUAGACCAUUAAACCAAAUUAGACUCCACUAUUUCUAAUUAAACAUAUUACAUUUAUAAUCAAACCAUGUCCACCAAGGACAUUCCAAACCUUAUGAAACCAACAAAAACCAAUUCAUGUUUCUUUAAUCAUUUAUGCAAUGCAAGGACUUAUGAAUAGUCAAGAUAUGUGACAAAAUCAUUCUCAUUGAUAAUUUCACAAACAGGUUGAGGGAAUGCAAUUAUCAAAGACAAAAUCAUCAAAUUUGUCUCUCAACCAUUACCCCUCAAUUAUAUCACUAUUCCUAUGCACCCUUAUGUGUUAAACUAUAAUUAAUAUAAGGGAAACCAUAAUCAAACUAUGAAAAAUAAUAUUAAUCCAUGAACAACCAAAAAUCCCAACCUUUAUUUCAAAACCAUAACAAGACAAUGAAAAGCAUACAUUAAAACAUAUGAAUUAGUAAAAUAACAAUGAGGGAAUAGUCACAUAUCUUAGACACCAAAAAAGACAGAGAAAAACCAGCCUUGAAAGCUUUAAUUAAUUAUAUUGAUGAAACCCUACCUUUUUUGCGUAAAGAGAAAUUUGAGAAAGAUUUUAAGAGUAUUUUAUUGGGGAAAAUAGGUUAGUAAAGUUCCAAAAGGUGUUUUAUGCCUUGGUGUCAGAGGAAGUUAAAAGGGAAAAUGUCCAGAAUUCCCCUCUACUUAGACUGUAAAAAUAUUGCAGGUGGUUACGAGUUGAUCCCUUGACUCGUGACUAACACAUACAACUCAUACCAUUGAGUCAUUACGAAUACAGUGAGUUGGACACCCACAAACUGUCCACCAUAUGACUCCAUGAACCCAAUCAUUACCAAACCAUACGACUCGUAUGGCUUUGUUGUAUCUAAGAUAGAAUCCAAAAUGAUUGACGCUAGACAAUAUACGAUUCAACUAUACCACUCAUACCUUAUACUCACAGCUCUUAGUAAGCCAAUUGUACUUAGUGCCAAGUCAAGUCACCAAUCUUAUGAUUCAAUGAAGGAUAGUCCUAAUGACCUAUCACCACCCCUAAUAACUCAUACCACCAAGUCGUAAUCAUAAUAAAAACCUAACCACCAUCUACUAGACUACUUAUGACUAAGGUUACCUUACCCAUACCCGCACUGUAUGACUUGUAUGAUGAGUUAUUAUAAGGACAGUGAGCUCAAAGCUUAGGAAAUUUCCAAGGGCUAAAACACAGGGUAUUUUAUUAUCAUAUCAUACCCGGGUGAAGUCUGAGUCACCUGAGAGAUAUGAAUGCUUACCUUUCCCUAUGAUAGAUUGGGUGAUGCCAUUCUUAAGGUUAUAGAUUUUUUCUGUUUCUAUUGGUGCCAUGAGUGUUUUAUGAUCUAAAUGGGUGAUUUGUGAAGAAUCCCAUGAUGUGUGAUAAUUAUGAUGCCUUGCAGUAACCAAAGUUUUUAUUUAAUUAUUUAAGAAGAUGAAAAAGUUCAAAAAAAUACAUACAAAAUAUCAUUGGCAAGAAAUAGAAUGAUUUUGAGAAAAAAUAAAAAAAUAUAGUAGUUUUUUUUUUUGAAAAAUACCAAAGAUAUUUUUGAGAUUUUUUUGACUGAGACCAUUAGAUUCAAUUUUUGGUUCUCUUUUCAAGGAUGAGUAUUUCACUUAGAGUAACUUACUUUGACUUGGAGAAACUUAUGAUGCUCAAAUUGGUUAGACAGCUAGCUUUUUUUAUCUAUUAUUGUGAUUCCAUGUAUGGUGAAAUUUUUGAAUAAUUCUUGUAUAUAUGUGUAGUCUAGAACUUACCUCGAGUGUGUUCAAAGAAAAAAUCCAGAAAAGCUUAAUUUGGAGGAUGACCCAUCACAUAGCCAAGUUUCCACGUUAACAUUAUUCCCUAGUUAACCCAUUUGACCCCUUUGUCCAUCUUUUAUUCUUAUUGUAAUGAUAAUCAUGCUAUAACACAUAAACCCUUUUUGAAAAUCCUAAGUAGUAAAAUAUAGACAAAAGCCUAAGUUUGGGGGGGUUGUGUAGUUGGAAGGAUAGUGUAAGGGUGGUUAAAUCUCCAAGUUUGGGGGGAUGAAUGUGAUUUGUUAAGAUGAUCCAAGAAUGGUGUAUGUUUUCAAAUAAUGUGCUUAAGAGAUAAGAGACAUACGUGAUGUUAUAGUUGUAUAGCAUAGCCCAUAGAAUGUGAAGAGAAAUGAGACAAAUGGGGAGGGAGAGGGCUAAGAAGAGAUUAAAAAAGUAUCUUAAAAAAGUCAAAGAAAUGAAGAAAUAAAAAUGGUGGCUUUAAAUUGUUUGGAAAUGUUAAUAAAAAGGUAGGGAAAUAUGGGAAAUGAUUUGAAGGAGAAUACAGUGGAUAAUUUGAAAAUUUUGGGGUAGAAGGGAUUGAGCGAAUGCAUUAAUGAAGGUAUAUUAGUCACUUGAUCCAUAGUUUUAUUCCUCCCCACACCUUAAACCUUCAUGAAUACAUGCAAGACCUUGGUGAUUCUAAACUAUGUAAGUGUACAUUAGUUGCGAAAAACAAAAAGGGAAAGUCUAUGGUUCUUCUCAUUGUGCAUGAACUUCUUUGCGAGAGUGAGAGUGAAUUCUUUCAUUAUUUAAACACCUAUAGAAAUUUAAAUGUUUUGUGUAUGAGGAGCUAACUAUUUCAUGUGAGUGGCAUCGAUGCUUUGGGGUAGAGGGUAAAGUUUAACUCUCUGUUUGGGUAAAUGGUUGAAGUAAGUUGCAUUGUGAAGAUUGCGAUAAUCUAUCAAGAUUUUGUGUCUCCUCUUAAGAUUCUUUGUUGAUUUUGAAGGUUCACUUGAUAUAAACUUGCAUCCUUGCAUCAUAAAUAUGUGCUUAUUGAAAAACAUUGGUUUACUUGUUGCCCUGACAUAUUUGGAAUGUCUUUGUAGAGCAUUCUUAGCUUAUUCCAUUAGUAUAUAUUUUUUUUUGGGUGGAUUGAGAUAAAAACACUGUAUUAUUGAAUUAUCCUCAUUUGAUUGAGGAUAAUCAAUAGUUUAAGUUUGGGGGUUUGAUUAGUCAUAAAUUUGACAACUUACUAGCAUUUUUAAGCCUAAAUUAUCAUGCUUUUUUGUUGUUUUGUUGUUAAUUUCCUUCUUAAUGAUCAUUGGUGUAGGUAAAAGUUAAAAUGGGAAGAUGAGAAUGGAAACUUGAUAAAAAUGAGUUGAGGAAAAGGUAAAAGAGAAGAAAUGUCAAAGAAAAUAGCCAAAUGCUAGAAAUCAAGCCUAAGAAAUGACCCACAGUUGCCACAAUAGCGGGAUGAAGGUCGCGAUCGCGAUCAACACUCAAGUCAACCAAUGGAAAUCGCGACAUGAUCAUUGUUAUCUCGCUAUCGCAAUCUUAGUGAAGAUACAACGAUAGCGGUAGGGCAGAAAAAGUUUAGCAGCAACAUUGUAAUGUACUUAAAGAGACCAAGAGCAAGGUGACAUUUUUGUAAUAUUUAGCAAAUAUGUAAUUGGGGAUUAGGUAGGGUUUUUAGAUCAUUUUCAAUAUCUUUUAUCCUAUCUUCCAUCUUCCCUUUUUAGUUUAUCACUUGGAUCUUGGAGCAAAAUUUUGUGCUAAUCUUGAGCUGAGAAGACAAUAGAGAAACUUUGAAGUGAACAAUUGGCAAAUUCCAUUAAAGAUUUAUUGGAAUUUAAAGUGUGG
rnacentral:lncRNA from 1 species